rnacentral:rRNA from 1 species
GACGAACGCUGGCGGCAGGCUUAACACAUGCAAGUCGAGCGGAGAGAAGUAGCUUGCUACUGAUCUUAGCGGCGGACGGGUGAGUAAUGCUUAGGAAUCUGCCUAUUAGUGGGGGACAACAUUUCGAAAGGAAUGCUAAUACCGCAUACGUCCUACGGGAGAAAGCAGGGGAUCUUCGGACCUUGCGCUAGUAGAUGAGCCUAAGUCGGAUUAGCUAGUUGGUGGGGUAAAGGCCUACCAAGGCGACGAUCUGUAGCGGGUCUGAGAGGAUGAUCCGCAACACGGGGACGGAGACACGGCCCAGACGCCUACGGGAGGCAGCAGUGGGGAAUAUUGGACAAUGGGCGUAAGCCUAAUCCAGCCAUGCCGCGUGUGUGAAGAAGGCCUUAUGGUUGUAAAGCACUUUAAGCGAGGAGGAGGCUACUUUAGUUAAUACCUAGAGAUAGUGGACGUUACUCGCAGAAUAAGCACCGGCUAACUCUGUGCCAGCAGCCGCCGCGUAAUAC